CCAGGUGGAUCCUAUUGUAACUGAUUAGAAAGCGUCUGGCCUCUCUCCAUCUUCACCGUCAUGUGGAAUGCUCUUCCUUCGUGCUAACGGAAACCCUCUUUGAAGUAGGUUAAGUAAACUCACAGGGGGUUGUUAGGGUUUUUUUCGAACACUCAUAGCCCUUGAUUUGGAUUCGAUUUGUCUCCGGUGAUUCUCUCCUCGUACUCUGGUCAUCUUCUAAUUGCGUGGUGUUAAUUAGUUGAAUUGAAGUGGGUUGUUGGCGAUUUUGGUUGAAAACAUAGUGUAGCGCUAGGGUUUCUAAGUAUUGUAUAGAUUGAUAUAGCAGUAAUAGUUGAUUUGUGAGGGAUGGAAGAAACGAAACAUGAAUUAAAGAGGAGUCACCGGGAACGUGACAGGGACAAAGAAAAGGAGAGAAAUGGAGAGAGACAUAGGGAUAAGAGAGACAGGGAAAGUAGGCGUUCUGAGAGAGAGAAAAGCACUGAUUCUGAUGACAAGUAUGAUAAAGAGAAAGAGAGAGAUAAGCAUAGAGACAGGGAUAAAGACAGAAGGAACAGGGAUGAGGGAAAAGAUAGAAGCAGUGAUAGGAAGAGAGAUAGAGACAGGGAUAGAGAGAAGGAGAGGGAGAAAGAGAAAGAGAAAGAGAAAGAGAAAGAAAAAGAAAGAGAGGAGAAGAGGGAGAAGGCAAGGGAGAAAGAACGAGAGAGGGAAAGAGAAAGAGAGAAGAGGGAGCGUGACCGUGAAGAGAGAGAGAGAGAAAGGGAUAGAGAAAGGGAGAGGAGGGAACGAGACAGGGAAGAACGAGAUAGGGAGAGAGAUAGAGAGAGGGAGAAGAGAGAGCGUGAGAGAGAUAGAGAGAGGGAAAAAGAGAGGGAGAGGAGAUUGAGGGACCGGGAGAAGCGUCGAAAAGUUGAUAGUGAUGAUAGUGAUGAAGACAAGGAACGUGAUAGAAAGCGGCGUAGGAGAGAUGAUGAUGAUUACAAGGAGAGAGUGCGUGAACAGAGCAUUAGAUCAAACAGGCAUCGGGAUGACAGUGAAGAUAGCCCAAGAAAAAGAGUUGUUGAGGAUGAUUUUGACAAGAAAGAGAAGAAAACCCGAGAAGAAGAGCUAGAAGAUGAACAGCGGAAAUUGGAUGAGGAAAUGGAAAAGCGGAGGAGGAGAGUUCAGGAGUGGCAAGAGUUGAAGAGGAAGAAGGAAGAAUCUGAGAGAGAAAAGCGUGGGGAAGAGAACGUUGGUGAACCCAAGGCUGGCAGGAACUGGACCCUUGACGGAGAAGAUUCUGAUGAUGAAGAAGUACCCCAAACUGGGAAAUUUGAGACAGACACGGAUGCAGACGAAGAUGCUAAUCCUUCUGAUAAACAGGUUGGAGAUGCAAUGGUGGUAGAGUCUGAGAGUGGGAAUGCUUCACCUGUUUUACAAAAUGGGGAUGCUGGUGAGGAAGAAAUCGAUCCACUUGACGCUUUUAUGAACUCUAUGGUUUUACCUGAAGUUGAGAAGCUAAACACUGCUGUGGAAUUGUCAAUGGUGGAUGCUAAUGGGGUGGACCCAAAGAAGAAGGAUCGAAAGGGUGAUAGGAUUAAUGGUGAGCGGCCAAAGAAAGGUUCAAAUAAGUCUCUUGGGAGAAUAAUUCCUGGUGAAGAUUCUGAUUCAGAUUAUGAGGACCUUGAGAAUGAUGAGGAAACAGUUGAAGAUGAAGACGAUGAUGAAUUUAUUAAGAGAGUAAAAAAGACAAAAGCUGAGAAAUUGUCUAUUGUUGAUCACUCAAAGAUUGAUUACAAACCUUUCAGGAAAAAUUUCUAUAUUGAAGUGAAGGAAAUUUCAAGAAUGACUCCUGAAGAGGUUGUUGCACUCAGGAAACAACUGGAACUGAAAGUACAUGGAAAGGAUGUCCCAAAACCAAUCAAAACCUGGCACCAAACUGGACUUACAAGCAAAAUUAUGGAGACGAUAAAGAAGCUUAACUUUGAAAAGCCUAUGCCAAUCCAAGCUCAGGCAUUACCAGUAAUUAUGAGUGGGCGAGAUUGCAUAGGCGUUGCAAAAACAGGGUCUGGAAAGACCCUUGCCUUUGUGCUGCCGAUGUUGAGGCAUAUCAAGGACCAGCCACCUGUGAUAGCUGGCGAUGGGCCAAUUGGACUUAUAAUGGCUCCUACAAGGGAGCUUGUCCAGCAGAUCCACAGUGAUAUCAAGAAGUUUUCCAAGGUAAUGGGAAUCAGAUGUGUGCCUGUCUAUGGUGGUUCUGGUGUUGCUCAACAAAUUAGUGAAUUAAAACGAGGGACUGAGAUUGUUGUCUGUACUCCAGGUCGAAUGAUUGAUAUACUUUGCACAAGCGGAGGGAAAAUUACCAAUUUGAGAAGAGUCACCUAUUUGGUCAUGGAUGAAGCUGAUAGAAUGUUUGACAUGGGUUUUGAGCCUCAGAUCACUCGAAUUGUUCAAAAUAUUAGGCCAGAUCGUCAAACUGUACUAUUUUCUGCUACCUUCCCUCGUCAGGUUGAAAUUUUGGCUCGCAAAGUUUUGGGCAAACCUGUGGAGAUACAAGUUGGCGGGAGAAGUGUUGUAAACAAAGAUAUAGCACAGUUGGUUGAAGUGAGGCCAGAAAGUGAGAGAUUUUUAAGACUGUUAGAACUACUAGGUGAAUGGUAUGAGAAGGGAAAAAUUUUGAUAUUUGUCCACUCACAGGAAAAAUGUGAUGUUUUGUUUAAGGAUAUGCUUAGACAUGGUUAUCCAUGUCUUUCACUUCACGGGGCCAAGGAUCAGACAGACCGUGAAUCCACCAUUUCUGAUUUCAAGAGCAAUGUCUGCAAUUUGUUGAUUGCAACUAGUGUUGCAGCUAGAGGUUUAGAUGUGAAGGAGCUUGAAUUAGUGAUCAACUUUGAUGCUCCAAACCACUAUGAGGAUUAUGUACACCGUGUUGGUAGGACAGGCCGAGCUGGUCGAAAAGGCUGUGCCAUUACAUUUAUCUCCGAGGAGGAUGCAAGAUAUGCACCAGAUCUUGUAAAGGCAUUGGAACUCUCCGAGCAAGUUGUUCCUGAUGACCUGAAAGCUCUUGCUGAUAGUUUCAUGGCAAAAGUGAAUCAGGGACUUGAGCAAGCUCAUGGAACGGGUUACGGUGGAAGUGGUUUUAAAUUUAAUGAAGAGGAGGAUGAGAAGAGGAAAGCUGCAAAGAAAGCACAGGCAAAAGAAUAUGGAUUUGAGGAAGACAAGUCAGAUUCAGAAGAUGAAGAUGAAGGGGUGCGGAAGGCAGGUGGUGACAUCUCGCAACAAGAUGCGCUGGCUAAGAUUGCUGCUAUUGCUGCUGCCUCCAAAGCCUCGGCUUCAAUGCCAACUCCUAUCUCGUCUGUGCAAAUGCUUCCCAGUGCUGGACUACCCAUUGCUCUGCCGGGUGUUCUUGGCCUACCGAUACCUGGAGCAGCGCCAGUUGUUCCUGCUACUGGGAUGUCUGGGGUGCCCAAUGAUGGGGCAGCUCGGGCAGCGGCAUUGGCAGCUGCCAUCAACCUGCAGCAUAAUUUGGCGAAGAUUCAAGCUGAUGCAAUGCCUGAACACUAUGAAGCAGAACUGGAGAUCAAUGAUUUUCCCCAGAAUGCUCGAUGGAAAGUUACUCACAAGGAAACGUUGGGUCCGAUUUCGGAAUGGACCGGAGCUGCCAUUACCACCAGGGGUCAAUAUUUUCCACCAAGCCGGGCCACAGGACCAGGGGAACGCAAACUCUACUUGUUUAUUGAGGGCCCUACUGAACAGUCUGUCAAGAGAGCUAAAGCAGAAUUAAAACGUGUUUUGGAAGACUUCACAAAUCAGGCAUUAUCACUUCCAGGUGGAGCUCAACCAGGCAGAUACUCAGUUGUAUAAGUGUAAGGACCAAAUUUUGACUCAGACUAUAGGCUUGUCUUUGUUUGUCUAUGUUGUACUUGAGUUGAUUAUCCAGCUGGUUUAUGAUUCUUGCUCAAAUUAAAUUUUUUAGUUUCUACAUUGGAUGGUCAUUUGGUUGUCAAUGUCUUUCAUAUUUUCUGGCGGGCUUUUACCUGUGGCUUGUGGAAUAUGCUUGUAUUAUUGUUAAAUUCCUGUCAAUUUCCACAACUCAAUGCCGGCUUUAAUUUUUUUUUUUUUUUUUCUUUUCCCUCUUUUGUUUAUCCUUCACCCACGGCUGGAGGGGAUUUAAACCUAUGCUGGCAUGUUCAAUGUACUCUGCCCAUUACCUUAGCUAUCAUGGCUGUCAAAGAGAUGGCGAUCAUCUGGUCUGGUGGGAAGAUAUCUGAACUCUGAAGCCAACUUUUGCUUUUGGCAUGCAGGAAUUGCCAUGAUUUUCCUUUUUCGUUUUUCCUCCGUCGACAAGGAUAGCUGUGCCAAUGUAAUGUCUGCGAGCUGAAAUGAACAAUCUCCUUUAUGUUAAAAGUACAGCAGAUAAUUGCCAAAUUGUCCUA